rnacentral:rRNA from 1 species
GACGAACGCUGGCGGCGUGCUUAACACAUGCAAGUCGAACGGAAAGGCCCUGCUUUUGUGGGGUGCUCGAGUGGCGAACGGGUGAGUAACACGUGAGUAACCUGCCCUUGACUUUGGGAUAACUUCAGGAAACUGGGGCUAAUACCGGAUAGGAGCUCCUGCUGCAUGGGGGGGGUUGGAAAGUUUCGGCGGUUGGGGAUGGACUCGCGGCUUAUCAGCUGGUUGGGGGGGUAGUGGCUUACAAAGGCUUUGACGGGUAGCCGGCCUGAGAGGGUGACCGGCCACAUUGGGCCUGAGAUACGGCCCAGACUCCUACGGGAGGCAGCAGGGGGGAAUAUUGCACAAUGGGCGGAAGCCUGAUGCAGCAACGCCGCGUGCGGGAUGACGGCCUUCGGGUUGUAAACCGCUUUCGCCUGUGACGAAGCGUGAGUGACGGUAAUGGGUAAAGAAGCACCGGCUAACUACGUG